AAAUAAUUACUGGGGUGCCAACCGGCUGAGAUCAUACCCAUUGAACCUGUCUAGAUAAUGCUAGCGAAGGAAUCGGUAAUCAGUUCAGUCUU
rnacentral:ncRNA from 2 species